UGGAUCCAGACUUUGAUUCUGGCUCAGGAUGAACGCUAGCUACAGGCUUAACACAUGCAAGUCGAGGGGCAGCAUGGCGGUUGCUUGCAACCGCUGAUGGCGACCGGCGCACGGGUGAGUAACGCGUAUCCAACCUUCCCCCUACCCGGGUAUAGCCCGCCGAAAGGCGGAUUAAUCCCCGAUACGUCCCCUGACGGCAUCAGGCGGGGACGAAAGGUUUUCCGGUAAGGGAUGGGGAUGCGUCCGAUUAGCUUGUUGGCGGGGCAACGGCCCACCAAGGCGACGAUCGGUAGGGGUUCUGAGAGGAAGGUCCCCCACAUUGGAACUGAGACACGGUCCAAACUCCUACGGGAGGCAGCAGUGAGGAAUAUUGGUCAAUGGGCGGAAGCCUGAACCAGCCAAGUAGCGUGCAGGAUGACGGCCCUACGGGUUGUAAACUGCUUUUUUGCGGGAAUAAAGCGGCUCACGUGUGAGCCUUUGCAUGUACCGCACGAAUAAGGACCGGCUAAUUCCGUGCCAGCAGCCGCGGUAAUACGGAAGGUCCAGGCGUUAUCCGGAUUUAUUGGGUUUAAAGGGAGCGUAGGCCGCCUUUUAAGCGUGCUGUGAAAUACCGUUGCCCAACAACGAGGCUGCAGCGCGAACUGGAGGGCUUGAGUUCACGGGAAGCCGGCGGAAUUCGUCGUGUAGCGGUGAAAUGCUUAGAUAUGACGAAGAACUCCGAUCGCGAAGGCAGCCGGCUGUAGUGUUACUGACGCUGAAGCUCGAAAGUGCGGGUAUCGAACAGGAUUAGAUACCCUGGUAGUCCGCACGGUAAACGAUGGACGCCCGCUGUGCGCCCUUUAGGGUGCGCGGCCUAGCGAAAGCGUUAAGCGUCCCACCUGGGGAGUACGCCGGCAACGGUGCAACUCAAAUGAAUUGACGGA
rnacentral:rRNA from 1 species